GGGUCAGUAGGUUGGUCGUGCCACCGGUACGUACUGGUCUCACUGAUUCCUCCUUCCUGAAGAACCGUAAUGCCAUUAAUUUGGUGUUGCGGGGAAACAGGACUGUUACUUUGAAAAAAUUAGAGUGUUUAAAGCAAGCUAACGCUUGAAUACAUUAGCAUGGAAUAAUGAAAUAGGACGAUCGAUGGUAUUUUGUUGGUUUCUAGGAUUGACGUA
rnacentral:rRNA from 1 species